rnacentral:tRNA from 2 species
GCGGUCGUGGCCGAAUGGUUCAGGCGAUGGACUAGAAAUCCAUUAGGGUCUCCCCGCACAGGUUCGAGUCCUGUCGACUGCA